ACUUUUACAAGGGGCGAGCAAGAACAAAUUCAACGUGAACAAAUACAACGAACUGAAGAUGAACUGGCUCAGGUGGAGGAGGACCUGAAACGUCUGAGGGAACCAACUCAACUCCAGCUACCACUUGAACUGAUCCAGCCAAAGCCAUAAACAAAGCCAAGCCAUGAUUACUGAUCACUAAAACUUUCACACUCCGGGUGGGGGGGGGGUUAAUUUCCUUCUUUAUUUUGAUAGACAACUUUUUACCAGGAAUCCAUAUCAUUCUUUUCUUUAUUUUACAGUCUUGAUAAUGAUGCUAAUUAUGUCACAGAGGAUUAUUGAAUUAAAAGUAUUUCCCAUACAUGGAGAGAAUC